ensembl:lncRNA
UCAUAAGUUUAGGAAAUAGGGACUGUGACUUAAUAAGCUUAUGGGGUAGAAUAUAUCCUCCGAGCAAACAGAUUUAUGAACACCUGCAAUGGAAGGAUUUAUGCAAACGGAUGAAAUAUUAAAAACCGUAAUGGGUGAGGAGUGUAGUAUAGGCAGAAUAACUGGGAAGAUCUAAGUUCCUAACAUGAUUUUUACAGGGAAAUGAAUAGAUUUCAGUAAAUGGAUACAGAAAGUUAAGAUGGAUAAAUGCAUAUAAAUUGAUAUAUACAUAUCUAUCUAUGCAUGUUUAUGCAUAUGCAUACCCCAAACACUUUUGUGAGCAAAAGAAAACACCCUAGGUAUACAUGGAAUUGACAGUUUAUUGUUAGCUUAAUCAAAAGCUUAGCAGUCUAAAUGGAAUAUCUCACAAUUUUCUCCUGUCCAGCUAGGAUAAAUCUAUCACUCAGCACUCAAAUUAAUAUAUCGCAUAAUCAAUAGAACCUUUAAAGCUUGUCAUGAAAGAAAAUUUUCCAGUAUUUACUUCUGUUUUACUGUUGUUAUGCUGACUUACCAAUGUGGCUUUGGAUCCUGACGGCAGUGGUGCCAUGAAUGGGAAAGAAAGCUGUUAACAGGAGUCUUCAACCAGAUCUGCAGAGAAUCAUGGUAUUUAUUCACAGAGCUCUUCAGGGCUUGUAAGGGUUUAUUGUUUUGCAUCAUUGUCUCAAAGCUUGCUGAGGGUCACAGAUGAACAAGUCCAAACAAGUCCUGAUCAAGGUUUGAGAAGUCCUUUGUCUGGAGGACACAGGUGGACCAGUCUUGGGCAGGGGGUGCAAAAUCCUUUGUCUGAGGGACACAGAUGGACAAGGCCGAGGGCAACGAGAGAGAGAUUCCUCGUGCUGAAGAAGAGAGAGGGUUUCUGACAGAUUCCUCGCGACCCGAGACCUGCAUGCUGAAGAACAAGAAGUAGUUGUUUGCUCCCUCCUGGACUUGCUCUGCACUCUACCUGCUUGCUUCCUAAGGCUGGCCUUCUGCUACUGCUCUCCCCCCAAGGUGUCUGCCAUCAGAUCCCUCACUAAGGAAGGUCUGCAUGCUGACGGACUCUCCAGGGCCUGCUUCUUCCUCCCGGAGUUCUUCCUGAACCUACCUGAUAACUGCACAUUCUUGCUGCCCAAGACUGGCCACGCUACUGCUGCACUUCCCCUGCUCUUUUGCCAUGGACCGUCGGAACGUCGUGCAACGGGACCGUUGCUGGAUCCUGGUGGUGACUAUCCCCGCUUUACGCAAUUCUUGCCUCUUUCUAUCUUUUCUAUCGCCUGCCUUCCCUUGUUGUAGAUUCUUGUGACAAAACCAGACAAAGUCUAGUGCGAUAAAGGGACAGCUUUAUUCAAUUAAGCAUGGCGGUUAAGUGAGCAAAACAGCGC